UAGCUUCCUGAUUAGAUUGGCUUAAUAACCAAAUUAUUGAUUUUGUGAGUGGUCGAACCAGGUAUGUUUCGAGCCUUAAAAGAUUGACAUGUUGGCAAAAUUGCUAGUUUGAUAGUAUGAAUGUUUGAUUGAGUUUGUAAUUGCAUAUCUGAGUUAUGAGAUAUGAGAAUGUUUGACUGAAUGAUAUAAUGUGUUGAGAUAUUAGGCUUAUGUGUGAUUUAA
rnacentral:lncRNA from 1 species